AUUGCAAAUGAUAAAUAAAGCCAACAGUAGUAUACCGCUGUUAAAUAGUCAUAAAUCGAUUGAGAGAAAACAAAUCCGGGUUACAAACUAAAACAGAGGGAAACACAUCAACUAUAAGAGGAAACAACGAAACAACAGAAACAUUGAAAUGCAACAACAAACAAACGACAAUGCAAAACACACAGAAACGAACUAUAAGAUAACAAAUGUCAUUUUCCUGACUUGGUACAGGACAUUUUUAUAACAAAAUGGUGGGUUUAAACCUCGUUUUGUUGCUAGCCCAACCUGGCGCUUUUAUGGCAAUGUUAAAUAUACCACUAAAAUGACAGCAUUACAUGACAGGAUUACAGUACAAAUAAAUGCAAAAACAAUCAGGACAGAAUAAUACACAAAUAAACAAUAUAAUAGAACAUUUCGACAUGGUCCACAGAAUAAUAACGAAUACGCAAAACAACCUAGGACAGCACACAAAAAACUGAACCACGAACUGUCCGUCACACAUCUGUAUCAACACC
rnacentral:lncRNA from 1 species